rnacentral:rRNA from 1 species
AUUGAACGCUGGCGGCAUGCUUUACACAUGCAAGUCGAACGGUAACAGGCCUUCGGGUGCUGACGAGUGGCGAACGGGUGAGUAAUGCAUCGGAACGUGCCCAGAGGUGGGGGAUAACGCAGCGAAAGCUGUGCUAAUACCGCAUGUGAUCUGAGGAUGAAAGCGGGGGACCAAGCAGCAAUGUUUGGCCUCGCGCCCCUGGAGCGGCCGAUGUCAGAUUAGGUAGUUGGUGGGGUAAAGGCCUACCAAGCCGACGAUCUGUAGCUGGUCUGAGAGGACGACCAGCCACACUGGGACUGAGACACGGCCCAGACUCCUACGGGAGGCAGCAGUGGGGAAUUUUGGACAAUGGGCGCAAGCCUGAUCCAGCAAUGCCGCGUGCGGGAAGAAGGCCUUCGGGUUGUAAACCGCUUUUGUACGGAACGAAAAGGCUCUGGCUAAUACCUGGGGCUGAUGACGGUACCGUAAGAAUAAGCACCGGCUAACUACGUG